UCCGUCGGUAAAUAUUGAGAUAACACUAAUCUUAUCUCUAUCCACUCGAUCCAUUUACACUCCACCCAUAUCAAAUGAGCUUGUUCCUCUCUCCGUCACCGAGUUGCUUCUUCUCUCCGUCGCACCAAUUUCUUCUGCCGCUGGCGUCACAGAUCUCUCUCCGUCGUCCCUUGCGUCGUACGGGCUCCCUCCGCCGCCGCAUCCAACCCUAACCCCAGAGCUUCGUCAUGCCUCCAACCCUAAUCCCAGAACUUCGUCGUGCUUCCAACCCCUGCUUCGCCGCUCUCUCCAUCGACGCUCCCUCCGUCUCAAAGCCUCCGUCGUGCUCACUCUGUCGUAAGCCUUCAAACGUCGCUCCUUCCUCCAUGGCUGAAACCCGUAACGCUCUGCUUUUUCUCCUGUGUCGUGGCUUCACCUUCCUCCAAACAAAAUUGAAAAACCCUAACCUGGAGGCCUUCCACUGCAAACCUACCGAUCCCUAAUUCCGUCUCAUCAUCAGAGAUUGAAAAUGAGUAGGCGUGGGAGCAGAAUAGUCUACGUUGGGAACCUCCCUGGUGAUAUUCGUGAAAGAGAAGUAGAAGAUUUGUUUUCAAAGGUUGUUUAAAUUUGAGCUCUUGUGGUUUUAGGAAUGUUAAAAGCUUUGAUGCAAAAUUUAGCAUAUAAAGUUGUUAAAUUGCUUGCUGCAGAAAAUUCAGCAGAUUGGCGCCAACUUGUUUGAAAUUUUGGGAAAAAUAUGUACGGUAAUUUUUAAUGAAAUUAGUUGAAUAACGAAUCUGAUGAUGAUUUGCAGAACUGCAUCACACUAACAAAGGAGAAUGUUAAAGGCAUAAUCAUGGUAACUUUUACUUUCUA